rnacentral:rRNA from 1 species
AGCAGUCGCCGCGGGAAACGGAGGAUCCGAGCGUUAUCCGGAAUUAUUGGGUUUAAAGGGUGCGUAGGCGGAUAGAUAAGUCAGUGGUGAAAGACGGUGGCUCAACCAUCGCAGUGCCGUUGAUACUGUUUAUCUUGAAUAUGGAUGAGGUAGGCGGAAUGUGGCAAGUAGCGGUGAAAUGCAUAGAUAUGCCACAGAACACCAAUUGCGAAGGCAGCUUACCAAGGCAAAAUUGACGCUGAGGCACGAAAGCGUGGGGAUCGAACAGGAUUAGAUACCCCAGUAGUCCCUGUCUCUUAUACA